rnacentral:rRNA from 1 species
AUUGAACGCUGGCGGCAGGCCUAACACAUGCAAGUCGAGCGGAUGAGAAGAGCUUGCUCUUCGAUUCAGCGGCGGACGGGUGAGUAAUGCCUAGGAAUCUGCCUAGUAGUGGGGGACAACGUUUCGAAAGGAACACUAAUACCGCAUACGUCCUACGGGAGAAAGUGGGGGAUCUUCGGACCUCACGCUAUUAGAUGAGCCUAGGUCGGAUUAGCUAGUCGGUAGGGUAAAGGCCUACCAAGGCGACGAUCCGUAACUGGUCUGAGAGGAUGAUCGGUCACACUGGAACUGAGACACGGUCCAGACUCCUACGGGAGGCAGCAGUGGGGAAUAUUGGACAAUGGGCGAAAGCCUGAUCCAGCCAUGCCGCGUGUGUGAAGAAGGCCUUCGGGUCGUAAAGCACUUUAAGUUGGGAGGAAGGGCUCAUAGCGAAUACCUGUGAGUUUUGACGUUACCAACAGAAUAAGCACCGGCUAACUUCGUGCCAGCCGCCGCAGUAA